UACGGGGGGGGCAAGCGUUGUUCGGAAUCACUGGGCGUAAAGCGCACGCAGGCGGAUCGUUAAGUCAGGGGUGAAAUCCCGAGGCUCAACCUCGGAACUGCCUCUGAUACUGGCGAUCUUGGAGUCCGGGAGAGGUGAGUGGAACUCCGAGUGUAGAGGUGAAAGUCGUAGAUAUUCGGAAGAACACCAGUGGCGAAGGCGGCUCACUGGCCCGGUACUGACGCUCAGGUGCGAAAGCGUGGGGAGCAAACAGG
rnacentral:rRNA from 1 species